rnacentral:rRNA from 1 species
GACGAACGCUGGCGGCGUGCCUAAUACAUGCAAGUUGAGCGCUGAAGGUUGGUACUUGUACCGACUGGAUGAGCAGCGAACGGGUGAGUAACGCGUGGGGAAUCUGCCUUUGAGCGGGGGACAACAUUUGGAAACGAAUGCUAAUACCGCAUAAAAACUUUAAACACAAGUUUUAAGUUUGAAAGAUGCAAUUGCAUCACUCAAAGAUGAUCCCGCGUUGUAUUAGCUAGUUGGUGAGGUAAAGGCUCACCAAGGCGAUGAUACAUAGCCGACCUGAGAGGGUGAUCGGCCACAUUGGGACUGAGACACGGCCCAAACUCCUACGGGAGGCAGCAGUAGGGAAUCUUCGGCAAUGGACGAAAGUCUGACCGAGCAACGCCGCGUGAGUGAAGAAGGUUUUCGGAUCGUAAAACUCUGUUGGUAGAGAAGAACGUUGGUGAGAGUGGAAAGCUCAUCAAGUGACGGGAACUACCCAGAAAGGGACGGCUAACUACGU